GCCAUUUCAUCUGAAUUUGUUGUAGCUGGGGACUUAACAGGAAAUAUCAGCUGAUGAAGGAAAUGCCAGACAUUCGUUACUAACAAUAACUGAAUACCUAUUGUGCAUGUCCUAUGGGGAAUAGCAGUUAGAAAAACAGGAAAUGUAGCAGAAAAUGGUUGGCCAGCUACUUUGGAAGUCCAGAGCUACGUUAUUAAAAUCAGAAACAUCCACUGCUAGGAUAAAAAUGCAAAUAUAUGCACCACUUUUCUU
rnacentral:lncRNA from 1 species